rnacentral:rRNA from 1 species
GGUUACUGCUAUCGGUGUUCGCCUAAGCCAUGCGAGUCAUAUGUUCUUCGGAACAUGGCGUACUGCUCAGUAACACGUGGAUAACCUGCCCUUGGGUCCGGCAUAACCCCGGGAAACUGGGGAUAAUUCCGGAUAACGCACAUAUGCUGGAAUGCUUUAUGCGUCAAAUGGAUUCGUCCGCCCAAGGAUGGGUCUGCGGCCUAUCAGGUAGUAGUGGGUGUAAUGUACCUACUAGCCUACGACGGGUACGGGUUGUGUGAGCAAGAGCCCGGAGAUGGAUUCUGAGACAUGAAUCCAGGCCCUACGGGACGCAGCAGGCGCGAAAACUUUACAAUGCGGGAAACCGUGAUAAGGGGACACCGAGUGCCAGCAUCAUAUGCUGGCUGUCCGGGUGUGUAAAAUACACCUGUUAGCAAGGGCCGGGCAAGACCGGUGCCAGCCGCCGCGGUAACACCGGCGGCCCGAGUGGUGAUCGUGAUUAUUGGGUCUAAAGGGUCCGUAGCCGGUUUGGUCAGUCCUCCGGGAAAUCUGACGGCUUAACCGUUAGGCUUUCGGGGGAUACUGCCAGACUUGGAACCGGGAGAGGUAAGAGGUACUACAGGGGUAGGAGUGAAAUCUUGUAAUCCCUGUGGGACCACCUGUGGCGAAGGCGUCUUACCAGAACGGGUUCGACGGUGAGGGACGAAAGCUGGGGGCACGAACCGGAUUAGAUACCCGGGUAGUCCCAGCCGUAAACGAUGCUCGCUAGGUGUCAGGCAUGGCGCGACCGCGUCUGGUGCCGCAGGGAAGCCGUGAAGCGAGCCACCUGGGAAGUACGGCCGCAAGGCUGAAACUUAA